CUCUUACCGCCCUUGGGAAUGGCCCCAGAAAAUACGCCCUCGAUGGUUUCACAGGAGCUGCCAUCACCCCCACACACCCGGCACUUAUCCUCCCGAAGAUGUCCACGGUGUCCAGCCGGCACGGUGUCCCGUCCACCACAGCCGCUGCCCGCUCCGUGUAGAAGUUGAAGCCUUCCGCCAAGCAGAUCCCAAACCCUUUGCCAUUCUGAGCCCUAUUGAGAGAAAUGAGGAUGUGAGAGAGGAGAGAGCGAAUGCACUUUCCUACAAUGUCUCUGGAGAUUCCUCAUUAAAAAGCUGGUUUAGAGGAAGAAGACUGCAUUGGUACACAAGUGCCUGGAUUCCUACCCCCUAUUCUCUCUCAGGAGGGCCACUUACCUCCCCGGUACGUCUUCCAUGUAUAAUAUUUCCCCCGGAAAGGGACGCUGUC